GUUCGUGGGGAGCGUGAGCAGCGUCCACAGCAGGGGGGCCAUGCUCGCCGCCGUGGCCUGGGCCGUGGGCGAGUACCUGUCCGUGUCCUGGGACCGGCGGUGCACCGUGGAGCAGAUCACCAGGUUCUUCGAGGCCCUGGAGGCCCUGCUGUUCGAGGUCACCCAGUCCCGCCCGUCUGCCGCCCUUCCCAAGUGCCCCCCACAGGUCAUCGCCGUGCUCAUGACCACGCUGACCAAGCUGGCCUCCCGGAGCCAAGACCUGAUUCCCAGGGUCUCUCUGUUCCUGUCAAAGAUGAGGACCCUGGCACAGAGCCCAGCGCUGAGCUCCGUGCACGGGGAGGAGGAUGCGGGAGCCAUCUGCACGCGGGCCACCGAGCUGCUGACCCUGCUAAAGAUGCCCAGCGUGGCCCAGUUUGUGCUCACGCCGAGCGCGGAGGUGUCCGAGCCCCGCUAUCACCGUGAUGCCAACACGGCCCUGCCGCUGGCCCUACGCACAGUCAGCCGCCUGGUGGAAAAGGAGGCGGGCCUCCUGCCUGGGUGAAGGGACGGUGGCCGGGGCAACGCCGGCCGGCCGCAGAUUAAGAGCCUGGUAUUAGGGCCAAGCUGCGGCUGCUGUGACCAGAGGGCAAGUCAGAGGGUCGCAAGGCCCGGGGAGGAGGCCCGGGAGGGUCUGGGUCCCUCCGUGCUGAGGCAGGGCUGUCCCAUCCUCGGCCUUCGGGUGUCUUGUCUGUCUGUCUGUCUCUGCUGUGCUGAGCUGUGUGGUGGAACAGAUCUGAUCUGGAGCGCUCGUGCUGUUGGGGGCUGGAUGGGGGCUGCCUGGUCUGUUUCUGGUGCUCCUUGCUCGGGGGCGAGAAGAGGUACGGCAACAAUAAACCUCUUUCA